UGGGGAAUAUUGCACAAUGGGCGCAAGCCUGAUGCAGCCAUGCCGCGUGUAUGAAGAAGGCCUUCGGGUUGUAAAGUACUUUCAGCGGGGAGGAAGGUGUUGAGGUUAAUAACCUCAGCAAUUGACGUUACCCGCAGAAGAAGCACCGGCUAACUCCGUGCCAGCCGCCGCGGUAAUACGGAGGGUGCAAGCGUUAAUAGGAAUUACUGGGCGUAAAGCGCACGCAGGCGGUCUGUCAAGUCGGAUGUGAAAUCCCCGGGCUCAACCUGGGAACUGCAUUCGAAACUGGCAGGCUAGAGUCUUGUAGAGGGGGGUAGAAUUCCAGGUGUAGCGGUGAAAUGCGUAGAGAUCUGGAGGAAUACCGGUGGCGAAGGCGGCCCCCUGGACAAAGACUGACGCUCAGGUGCGAAAGCGUGGGGAGCAAACA
rnacentral:rRNA from 1 species